rnacentral:rRNA from 1 species
UACGAAGGGGGCUAGCGUUGUUCGGAAUUACUGGGCGUAAAGCGUAUGUAGGCGGAUCGUUAAGUCGGUUGUGAAAGUCGGGGGCUCAACCCUCGGAUGCCGAUCGAUACUGUCAGGCUAGAGUCCGGAAGAGGCGAGUGGAAUUCCUGGUGUAGCGGUGAAAUGCGCAGAUAUCAGGAGGAACACCAAUGGCGAAGGCAGCUCGCUGGGACGGUACUGACGCUGAGGCGCGAAAGCGUGGGGAGCGAACAGG